rnacentral:sRNA from 2 species
GCACACCCUGGCUCGCUCCGAAACAACCGUCCAAGAGGAGGCGUAUUCGAACAUUCCGAUCAAUAACAGGUACCCUCUGCGCAUCAAUAUUCAGGGCUCAGGCGCACCGACCAUUCAUUCUGAUCACCCCAGUCGUCUUCGACAAUCAUUUUCGAGAAGCAUUGACUCAAGCAUCAGUGUGGCGGGGUGGGGUGAGUUCGUUUUACCAAUGGAGCUGAGAAUAAGCUUGAAACAAAAGGGACAAAAAAGAAAAGGCAUAUUACAUCCUUCGUAUUAUUUCUGGAAAUAAUAUAGCUCAGAGGAGCUGCAUUAGAUUUUUGAUCGGUCUCCAUAGAGCGAGAGGCAAACACCACAACAGAAAUGUAUACAGAUUUGAUUCCCACUCCUAUGUCCUAUGCAUAUACACCGUUAUCCCUCUUGCACCUUCACGAAUGAGGCCGACAGGGCAGACCAUAGAUUGUGGAGAAAACAAAAGGCCUGUCAUGCAAAGCAGGGAAUCUGAAGCAGCUCGUCAAUCCUCGCCCUGUACUUGCUCCUGAAGCUUUUCUAUCUGUAUCCCGCUUCCACUCCAGCUCUUGCUGCAGUUGCACCCAUCUGUUGUUCAACCAUAUGGGUUUCUCCGCACACUCGUAAUGGCUAUUGUUGCUUUAUCUGCGUCAAGUUUUUUAAGAAGAGUUCUUCAUCUAUUAUUUACCUCGCGUACUACAGGAAAGGGGUUCGCCCUCAAAACUAGCAAUUUUUCGCAAUGCAUCUUUUGACUCUUUUCCUGGCUUUUAUCGUCAGUCAAGGCUUUGGCUUCAUAUCGACUCCCCAAAUUUAUCCGCAAACG